rnacentral:rRNA from 1 species
UACGUAGGGAGCGAGCGUUAUCCGGAUUUAUUGGGUGUAAAGGGUGCGUAGACGGGAAGUCAAGUUAGUUGUGAAAUCCCUCGGCUUAACUGAGGAACUGCAACUAAAACUGAUUUUCUUGAGUACUGGAGAGGAAAGUGGAAUUCCUAGUGUAGCGGUGAAAUGCGUAGAUAUUAGGAGGAACACCGGUGGCGAAGGCGACUUUCUGGACAGAAACUGACGUUGAGGCACGAAAGUGUGGGGAGCAAACAGG